GAGACAGUUCGGUCCCUAUCUGCCGUGGGCGCUGGAGAAUUGAGGGGGGCUGCUCCUAGUACGAGAGGACCGGAGUGGACGCAUCACUGGUGUUCGGGUUGUCAUGCCAAUGGCACUGCCCGGUAGCUAAAUGCGGAAGAGAUAAGUGCUGAAAGCAUCUAAGCACGAAACUUGCCCCGAGAUGAGUUCUCCCUGACUCCUUGAGAGUCCUGAAGGAACGUUGAAGACGACGACGUUGAUAGGCCGGGUGUGUAAGCGCAGCGAUGCGUUGAGCUAACCGGUACUAAUGAACCGUGAGGCUUAACCUU
rnacentral:rRNA from 1 species